rnacentral:misc_RNA from 1 species
CUGAGUACUACCGCUCAUCAACCCUUUGUGAACAUACUUAUACCUGUUGCUUCGGCGGUAGGCGUCCCCUAAAAGGGUCUCCGGCCCUCCCGUCCGGGUGGGCGCAGCGGAGGAACCAAUCUCUGAUUUUCGAACCGACGAUACUUCUGAGUGUUACUAAGCGAACUAAUCA